AUUGAACGCUGGCGGCAGGCCUAACACAUGCAAGUCGAGCGAGCGGCGGACGGGUGAGUAAUGUCUGGUAAACUGCCUGAUGGAGGGGGAUAACUACUGGAAACGGUAGCUAAUACCGCAUACCAUCAGAUGUGCCCCGAUGGGAUUAGCUAGUGGGUGGGGUAACGGCUCACCUAGGCGACGAUCCCUAGCUGGUCUGAGAGGAUGACCAGCCACACGGGAACUGAGACAAGGGCCAGACUCCUACGGGAGGCAGCAGUGGGGAAGAUGGCAGAAUGGGCGCAAGCCUGAUGCAGCCAUGCCGCGUGUGUGAAGAAGGCAUUAGGGUUGUAAAGCACUUUCAGCGGGGAGGCGUUACCCGCAGAAGAAGCACCGGCUAACUCCGUGCCAGCAGCCGCGGUAAUUC
rnacentral:rRNA from 1 species